rnacentral:tRNA from 1 species
GAGGGUGCAGCUCAGUGGCAGAGCGCGUGCUUAGCAGGCACGUGGUCCUGGGUUCAGUCCCCAGCACCUCCA